rnacentral:rRNA from 1 species
GACGAACGCUGGCGGCGUGCUUAACACAUGCAAGUCGAACGAAGUGGCGAACGGGUGAGUAACGCGUAAUCAACCUGCCCUUCAGAGGGGGACAACAGUUGGAAACGACUGCUAAUACCGCAUACUGAAGGAGGGGAUUGCGUUGGAUUAGCUAGUUGGAGGGGUAACCGCCAACCAAGGCGAUGCUCAGUAGCCGGUCUGAGAGGAGGAACGGCCACAUGGGGACUGGGACACGGCCCAGACUCCUAAGGGAGGCAGCCGUGGGGAAUCUUCCGCAAUGGACGAAAGUCUGACGGAGCAACGGCGCGGGAGGGAUGACGGCCGUCGGGUUGGAAAGCUCUGUUAAGCGGGACGCGGUACCGGAAUAGAAAGCCACGGCUAACUACGUGCCAGCCGCCGCGGUAAUUC